AGGUUAGGUUAGGUUCAGGGCAGCAAAGACUUGUGCCAGACCCUAUCGAAUGCUCUAAUGAUGUCUGGUCCGCUAACUGUUUCUCUUGAGUGUGGGGAGGUUAGGUUAAGUUAGGUUAGGUUAGGUUAGGUUAGGUUAGGUUAGGUUCAGGGCAGCAGAGACUUGUGCCAGACCCUAUCGAAUGCUCUAAUGAUGUCUGGUCCGCUAACUGUUUCUCUUGAGUGUGGGGAGGUUAGGUUAAGUUAGGUUAGGUUAGGUUAGGUUCAGGGCAGCAAAGACUUGUGCCAGACCUUAUUGAAUGCUCUAAUGAUGUCUGG